UCUUUCCAUUUCAUUGUACCAGCUCUGCUCAGCUCGGCCACGGUGCCCCAUCCUCCAUUUUCCAUUGCAGAUUUAGUACCGCCUCAUGUGUGAGGCGAACGUGGCUGGUCGUCAUAGCGACGUCGCAGG